rnacentral:rRNA from 1 species
GAUGAACGCUGGCGGCGUGCCUAAUACAUGCAAGUCGAGCGAACAGAUGAGGAGCUUGCUCCUCUGACGUUAGCGGCGGACGGGUGAGUAACACGUGGAUAACCUACCUAUAAGACUGGGAUAACUUCGGGAAACCGGAGCUAAUACCGGAUAAUAUAUUUAACCGCAUGGUUCAAUAGUGAAAGACGGUUUUGCUGUCACUUAUAGAUGGAUACGGGCGGCUUUAGCUAGUUGGUAGGGUAACGGCUUCCCAAGGGAACGAUGCGUAGGCGACGGGAGAGGGGGAGCAGGCACCCCAGACUUGAAACGCGACACAGACCCAAACGGGACGGCGGAGUGCGGAAUGUAACAGAAGGGGCGAAAGCAUGACGGAAACCAGCCGAGUGAGUGAUGAAAGUCCUCGGCUCGUAAAACUAUGUUACUGGGAAAGAACAAAAAUGUAAGUGACUAUGCCCGUCUUGCAGGUACCGAAUCAGAAAGCAACGGCUAAUUACGU